AUCCCGGGAUUUUUCUCCACUCCCUCAUCCAAGUAUUUUAUCCCCAUUUUCCCCACAGAAUCCCGGGAUUUAUCCCAUCCCCUCAUUCGGGACCCUUAUCCCCAUUUUCCCCACAGAAUCCCGGGAUUUAUCCCAUUCCCGCCCUCACGGCACGGCUGGAGCCGGAAUCCCGGGAUUUAUCCCAUUCCCGCCCUCACGCUGCGGCUGGAGCCGGG